UUGACCUCGGAUCAGGUAGGAAUACCCGCUGAACUUAAGCAUAUCAAUAAGCGGAGGAAAAGAAACCAACAGGGAUUGCCCUAGUAACGGCGAGUGAAGCGGCAACAGCUCAAAUUUGAAAUCUGGCGCAAGCCCGAGUUGUAAUUUGUAGAGGAUGCUUCAGGGCAGCGGCCGGUCUAAGUUCCUUGGAACAGGACGUCAUAGAGGGUGAGAAUCCCGUAUGCGACCGGUUGGCACCCGUCACGUAGCUCCUUCGACGAGUCGAGUUGUUUGGGAAUGCAGCUCUAAAUGGGAGGUAAAUUUCUUCUAAAGCUAAAUACCGGCCAGAGACCGAUAGCGCACAAGUAGAGUGAUCGAAAGAUGAAAAGCACUUUGGAAAGAGAGUUAAAAAGCACGUGAAAUUGUUGAAAGGGAAGCGCAUGCAACCAGACUUGUCGGCGGUGUUCCGCCGGUCUUCUGACCGGUCUACUCGCCGCCGGCAGGCCAGCAUCAUCUGGGCGCGCCGGAUAAAGGCGUGGGGAAUGUAGCUCCUCGGAGUGUUAUAGCCCCGCGCACAAUACGGCGCCGCUCGGGUGAGGUCCGCGCUUCGGCUAGGAUGCUGGCGUAAUGGUUGUCUGCGGCCCGUCUUGAAACACGGACCAAGGAGUCUAACAUCUAUGCGAGUGUUCGGGUGUCAAACCCCUACGCGUAAUGAAAGUGAACGGAGGUGGGAAGCGCAAGCUGCACCAUCGACCGAUCCUGAUGUCUUCGGAUGGAUUUGAGUAAGAGCAUAGCUGUUGGGACCCGAAAGAUGGUGAACUAUGCCUGAAUAGGGUGAAGCCAGAGGAAACUCUGGUGGAGGCUCGCAGCGGUUCUGACGUGCAAAUCGAUCGUCAAAUUUGGGUAUAGGGGCGAAAGACUAAUCGAACCAUCUAGUAGCUGGUUCCUGC
rnacentral:rRNA from 2 species